rnacentral:misc_RNA from 1 species
CACCACUCAAGCCUCGCUUGGUCUUGGGCGCCGCGGUCCGCCGCGCGCCUCAAUGUUUCCGGCUGAGCCGUCCGUCUCUAAGCGUUGUGGUAAUCUAUCCGCUUGCGAGACUGGGGGGCGUCUAGCCGUUAAACUCCUACUCAAA